UAACUUCUAGUCUAAAUAUGGUUAAAUCAUUACAAUUAUUUUACAUUUCACUUUAAAAUUUCGUUGGUACUCGUUUGAAAAAGUAAUUCGGUAAAUCAUUGAAGCUGGAAUUAGUAUGGCAUCUCUGCUAGCUUAAAGUAUAUCCGUAAUACAUUUUAAAUGACAGUUAAAAAAUUGUUUAAACGACAUUUUCAUGAAUGAAAAUUUAGAAUGUAUAUUUCAAUUGCUCAAAUGUUUGAAUAAAAUCUAAUAAAGCAGCAGUUACUAGAUUCUUAUGUGGAUCUACUAAUAGUUUGGUUAUUGAUUAAUGUGCUUCACGAAUCCAACGCAUUCUUAUACGACAAAGUGGAGAUUAGCUUUUUAGAAUCUGGAUUCAGACUUAAAGAGCGUAAAGACUUCAAAGACCAGUGACGAAAUGUGUUUAACCACUCAAUUACCAUAUUUUAUUAAUUUCAGUGGUGUUCCCCGGAAGACAUAUUUCUGUGACUAAAGUAAAGGUUUGCACUUACCAUGCCUAGCUGACUGACUUUUCAUACAAAAAUUAAAAAAAGAAGCGUAAGGCCGGAAUGUAACAGUAAUAUAUGUGUCGAGAUCCCCAAGCCAUUUCCUUCGCCUGCUCACCAUUAAUAAAGCAAUAGUUUGCGUUUAUUUAUUUAAAUCUGCAAAAGAAAAAUUUACAUUUCAGUAUUAUUCAAACGUAAAUCUCACUCACUCAAUGGCUUAACGUCAUUUGACUUUCUCUUUCACCUUUCUGGAAAAGAUUCAAAUGGAGAUGAGCCAUUUUACCGAUGAGCAUUAUACAACUGUGUACCUACUGAACUACAGGAUGUUCUAAAACUUUUAUUUACUAGAAUAUGCUCCGCAAAAUACUGUGCAGUUAAGGGUUAAGGAUGUUGAACAUUCGAUUUUCAUUUAAAAAUGUUGUUGGAAUUCAUAUAAAAAACAUACAUACGAUUGAGUUAUGUAAAAACAUGUUAAUAAAUGAACUUUAUUGCGAAAUCCAGUAUGAAAACGAUUACAAAUUGCAAUUGAAUUGAACUAAACUCGUCCAUGGUAAAUGUCUUUGUUCUUUGUAUAUAUUAAUAGCUUAUAUAAAUUAUAAAAUAUUUACUUUAGAUGCAUAUAUGAAUGUAUGUAGGUAUAUUUAAAUGAAUUUACUGUUUCAUUCUUAUAAGCAACUUUUUUGCUGAAACAAAUUUUGAAUAGUUUUCAUGAACUUUUAAAUUGAAGUCUAUGAUUUGAGCACCUUCUUGAGGUGCUGUAACCAAUUCGUUACAAGUCUAUUCCAGAGGAUUUAAUGCUGCGUGCUGAACACAGUUUAGAAAAAAAAAACAAUUUAGUUCUAAAUGUUUCGUCUCAUUAUGUUCUUUUAUAAAGCAUUUAGUUGAGCUCUACUGCAUUUUUUGUUGUUGUUGUUUUUUUUUUUGUGAAGACAACGAAUUUUAUGAAAGAAUUAUAAAGACAGAGGUCUGCAAGAGAAAAUCAAACCUUUUCUGCACGGAUACAUUUAUGGGAAUACAAAUACAUAUGUAGGUAGCUAGCUACUAAUGGGAACUCAGUGAAAAUGUGCGAAGUGUUGCGCUUACCUAACCACGGAUGUAUGUAUAAAAAGCUUGUAAUCCCUUAAUUAUGUAUAUUUAUGCGUGUCGUUUAUUUCUAAUUGCAUUAUCGUUUUUCGCUAUCCUCCAUAUCGUCUAGUGCUGGUCGUCGUACUCUUGUCGAUGCUGCGCUUGGCGACGUUUUAGAGCCUCAGCAUCUUCCAGCAAUACUUCCUCAAACACAUUC